rnacentral:rRNA from 1 species
AGAGUUUGAUCAUGGCUCAGGACGAACGCUGGCGGCGUGCUUAACACAUGCAAGUCGAACGAGGUAGCAAUACCUAGUGGCGGACGGGUGAGUAACACGUAGGUAACCUGCCUCAUAGUGGGGGAUACCCAGCCGAAAGGUUGGCUAAUACCGCAUGAGCUGUGGAGUUGGAAUACUCUUCAGGAAAGAUUUAUCGCUAUGAGAGGGGCCUGCGUAUGAUUAGCUAGUUGGUGGGGUAACGGCUCACCAAGGCGACGAUCAUUAGCUGGUCUGAGAGGACGAUCAGCCACACUGGAACUGAGACACGGUCCAGACUCCUACGGGAGGCAGCAGUGGGGAAUUUUCCGCAAUGGGCGAAAGCCUGACGGAGCAACGCCGCGUGGGUGAUGAAGAUUUUCGGAUCGUAAAGCCCUUUCAGCAGGGACGAAAUAAAUGACGGUACCUGCAGAAGAAGCAUCGGCUAACUACGUGCCAGCAGCCGCGGUAAUACGUAGGAUGCAAGCGUUGUCCGGAAUUAUUGGGCGUAAAGCGAACGUAGGCGGUUACUUAAGUCUGGACUUAAAGACCGGGGCUCAACCUCGGGAAUGGUCUGGAUACUGGGUGACUGGAGGAUGUCAGAGGAAAGUGGAAUUCCAAGUGUAGCGGUGAAAUGCGUAGAUAUUUGGAGGAACACCAGUGGCGAAAGCGGCUUUCUGGGACAUUCCUGACGC